rnacentral:rRNA from 1 species
GAUGAACGCUGGCGGCGUGCCUAAUACAUGCAAGUCGAGCGAACGGACGAGAAGCUUGCUUCUCUGAUGUUAGCGGCGGACGGGUGAGUAACACGUGGAUAACCUACCUAUAAGACUGGGAUAACUUCGGGUAACCGGAGCUAAUACCGGAUGAUAUUUUGAACCGCAUGGUUCAAAAGUGAAAGACGGUCUUGCUGUCACUUAUAGAUGGAUCCGCGCUGCAUUAGCUAGUUGGUAAGGUAACGGCUUACCAAGGAAACGAUGCAUAGCCGACCUGAGAGGGUGAUCGGCCACACUGGAACUGAGACACGGUCCAGACUCCUACGGGAGGCAGCAGUAGGGAAUCUUCCGCAAUGGGCGAAAGCCUGACGGAGCAACGCCGCGUGAGUGAUGAAGGUCUUCGGAUCGUAAAACUCUGUUAUUAGGGAAGAACAUAUGUGUAAGUAACUGUGCACAUCUUGACGGUACCUAAUCAGAAAGCCACGGCUAACUACGUG